AUUGAACGCUGGCGGCAGGCCUUACACAUGCCAGUCCAACGAGUCGCGGACCGGUGAGUAUUGUAUGGGAACCUGCCUGACGGAGGGGGCUAACUUCUGGAAACGGUAGCUAACAACGCACACCAUCGGGUGUUCCCUGCUGGGAUUAGCUAGUAGGUGGGGAAAAGGCUCACCUAGCCGUCGAUCCCUGGCUGGUCCGAGCGAAUGACCAGCCACAUGGGAAGGGAGACACGGUCCAGACUCCUGCGGGAGGCAUCAGUGGGGAAUAUUGCACAAUGGGCGCAAGCCUGAUGCAGCCAUGCCGCGUGUAUGAAGAAGGCCUUCGGGUUGUAAAGCACUUUCAGCGAGGAGGCGUUACUCGCAGAAGAAGCACCGGCUAACUCCGUGCCAGCCGCCGCGGUAAUAC
rnacentral:rRNA from 1 species